rnacentral:lncRNA from 1 species
GGCCUAGAGGAUCCACAUGUCAUCCUAAGAGAGAGCCAUUGCCAAGUGGACCCCUCUCCAUGUAUAUUUCUUUUCCCUAAGUGUUGCAUUGUAUAUUUUCAUGCCCUGUUUAGAGCUUCAUAUUAGGGGGAGCUUUGAUCCAUCGUUGGUGAUUCCUUGAUGGAAUGGUAAUGGGUGAAUCCCUCUACAUCAUGGGGCAUUCAUUUUCUUCUUAGGUUUUUUGCAUGUACUUAUUGCACCUUGUCAAAGUGGGCACUUGACUGAUGUGACAGAUUUGUGAAAACCUGAGAAUUUCACUAAGUCUGCGAAUCUGGAGUUAUUUUCUUCCCGUGUUGUUUUGUGUAUAUUUGGCCCUGUGUUGGGAAUUAGCCCAAGAAACAAACUAAUGUUUGUUUGCUGUAAUGUUUGUUUAGCUCUCUGUAAAAUUUCAUGCCGAGUUACCUCCUGUAGAUAUCAUUUUGGAGGCUACCAAAAUGCUUCAGAGCAUAAGUAGCU